rnacentral:rRNA from 1 species
UUGAACGCUGGCGGCAGGCCUAACACAUGCAAGUCGAACGGUAACAGGAAGAAUCUUGCUUCUUUGCUGACGAGUGGCGGACGGGUGAGUAAUGUCUGGGAAACUGCCUGAUGGAGGGGGAUAACUACUGGAAACGGUAGCUAAUACCGCAUAACGUCGCAAGACCAAAGAGGGGGACCUUCGGGCCUCUUGCCAUCGGAUGUGCCCAGAUGGGAUUAGCUAGUAGGUGGGGUAACGGCUCACCUAGGCGACGAUCCCUAGCUGGUCUGAGAGGAUGACCAGCCACACUGGAACUGAGACACGGUCCAGACUCCUACGGGAGGCAGCAGUGGGGAAUAUUGCACAAUGGGCGCAAGCCUGAUGCAGCCAUGCCGCGUGUAUGAAGAAGGCCUUCGGGUUGUAAAGUACUUUCAGCGGGGAGGAAGGGAGUAAAGUUAAUACCUUUGCUCAUUGACGUUACCCGCAGAAGAAGCACCGGCUAACUCCGUG